GACAGCUUCGUUGGCUUAAUUGGUUAGAGCAUCAGCCUCGGAUUCAGGAGGUAGAGGGUUAGAACCCCGACAGAGUCA